rnacentral:lncRNA from 11 species
CGCCAGGGUUUAAAGAUCAGACGGGUUAGUGAGAGAGAGAGAGGGAGAAAUUGCAUGCAAAGGAAGGAGUCAGAGAAAGACACAAAAUAACCAGAUAGAGAGUGUUACUGUUAAAAUAAAUGCUACUUUUAUUGGGGGAUUUGUUACAUAGUUCAGGGAAGGGGAAAGUGAGAAAAAAAAAGAUCUUUUAAUAAUAGUCUGCUGCGGUCCCGCUCCGUUCCUUUUGGUGAUGGAUCUGCGGAACUCUCCGCUGCGGGUUCAAAUCAAUUUGAAAGCCGGGGUGACGGUCAUCAUAGAUGUGGGCGAAACGUCAGGAGCGAAUGCUUCUGGGAAAUGGCCACACGCUCCGGUACCUCUGAGGAUGCCUGUUGUAGAUGUGGGCGAAACGUCAGGAGAGAAUGCUUCUGGAACAUGGCUACACGCUCCGGUACCUCUGAGGAUGCCUGUUAUAGGUGUGGGCGAAACAUCAGGAGAGAAUGCUUCUGGAACAUGGCCACACGCUCCGGUAUAGAUGUGGGCGAAACGUCAGGAGAGAAUGCUUCUGGAAAAUGGCCACACGCUCCGGUAUAGAUGUGGGCGAAACGUCAGGAGUGAAUGCUUCUGGAGCAUGGCCACAUGCUCCGGUACCUCUGAGGAUGCCUGCUAUAGAUGUGGGUGAAACGUCAGGCGAGAAUGCUUCUGGAACAUGGCCACACGCUCCGGUAUAGAUGUGGGCGAAACGUCAGGAGAGAAUGCUUCUGGAACAUGGCCACACGCUCCGGUAUAGAUGUGGGCGAAACAUCAGGAGAGAAUGCUUCUGGAACAUGGCCAUACGCUUCGAUACCUCUGGGGAUGCCUGUUGUAGAUGUGGGCGAAACGUCGGGAGAGAAUGCUGCAGCCAGCCUGGAAAACUGACAGCAACCCAACUUCGAGAUUGUAAGAAGAACUAUUCAGAAGUGAAACUCUGUGUCUCUGAGUCUGGUGGAAACUUCUCCCUUGGAGGCUUUGAAACAGAGGCUGGGUGGCCAUCUGCUGGGGGGGCUUUGAUGGUGCUUUUCCUGCAGCAUGAAGGGCGGGGCCUUCCUCCUCUCCUCCUCUUCCUCCUCCUCCUCUCCUUGUCUUUCGCUUUCGUUUUUCCUUCCUUCCUUCCUUCCUUCCUUCUCCUCUUCGGGGGUCUCAGGACCGGGACCCUGGCCCAAGCCAAGCCUCCUUCUUCCCCGGGGACGGAGAUACCUUCUCCUCGCGCCGGAUCCCGCUCAUCCGACGGUCCGCCUUAUGCCCGGAUGGAGAACACAUCCCCAGACUCUGAAGGCUACUUGCAUGAAAAUGAGCAGCUGGAAGACAACCUGCCAGGAUCGGUGUCCCAGGAGGCCACGGCUGAGCACCAGGACUCCCAGGCCAAGAGAGAGCAGAAGCUAAAGAAGAAAGGUGGGUGGAGAAGGCAUGAUGUGGCAAAGGUUCCUCUGUACAGGUUCAAAAUAUGGUGCUGGGGGUCAGUUUGCACAAUGCAGUAGGAUCGUCGUAUCACUCAAGCAUAAUCGGCAUUUCACCAGAACGCGUGGAUCACAUUAUUGCUUUGUUUGGCCAUCGGAAGAUCUGUAGAAUCAUAGAAUCAUAGAAUAGUAGAGUUGGAAGAGACCUCAUGGGCCAUCCAGUCCAACCCCAUUCUACCAAGAAGCAGGAAAUCGCAUUCAAAGCACCCCCGACAGAUGCCCAUCCAGCCUCUGCGUAAAAGC